rnacentral:tRNA from 1 species
GCCGGGAUGGCACAAUCUGGUACUGCGCAGGCCUGGAAAGCCUGUUUCCUUCGGGAUUUCUGGGUUCAAAUCCCAGUCCCGGCG